UGGGGGAUAUUGCACAAUGGGCGAAAGCCUGAUGCAGCGACGCCGCGUGGGGGAUGAAGGCCUUCGGGUUGUAAACUUCUUUUGCUCUGAACAAGGCGCACCAUGGGGUGUGUUGAGUGUAGGGGUUGAUUAGCGCCGGCUAACUACGUGCCAGCAGCCGCGGUAAUACGUAGGGCGCGAGCGUUGUCCGGAAUUAUUGGGCGUAAAGGGCUUGUAGGUGGCUGGUUGCGUCUGUCGUGAAAGCUCAUGGCUUAACUGUGGGUUUGCGGUGGGUACGGGCUGGCUUGAGUGCAGUAGGGGAGGCUGGAAUUCCUGGUGUAGCGGUGGAAUGCGCAGAUAUCAGGAGGAAUACCGGUGGCGAAGGCGGGUCUCUGGGCUGUUACUGACACUGAGGAGCGAAAGCAUGCGGAGCGAACAGG
rnacentral:rRNA from 1 species